UAAACCUUCAAGCUAUUAAGUACAAUUUCAAAAUAUUCUUUAUUUAAUUAAUUUGAAAAGAUAAUGGCAAAAUUUUUCAAUAUAUUUUUCUUGAUUUUAAUUAUAACUUUGUCAUUUUCAAAUGGAUAUAAAAUCGAUGCUAAAGCUAGACAUGGAUGUGGAACUUUACAUACACCAUGUAAAAAUGAUUCAGAUUGCUGUCGUCCAACAUACAUUUGUUAUGAUAUCUGUAUUUUAGAUCCGAGUUUAAAUGAUUAAACACAAUACAAAUAUAAACUAGAAUGAAAAUUGUUAUCAUAAAGCAUGAAUAAAAAUAUUCAGAAAAGCUCAAAUUACCGUGAACUUUAAUCAUUAUUAUUAUUAUUGAUGCGGUUUCGAAGAAUAACAAAAUAAAUAUUAAAAUGUUUUUUAUUAAAAUUUAAAUUCUAAAUAAAUUUAUAUUAUCAAGACGAAAUUUUACAUGAGAAAUCAUGAAUUUUUAGUUUAAAAUU